rnacentral:rRNA from 1 species
GACAGAGGCCUCAAGCGUUUAGGCGGAAUCACUGGGCUUAAAGCGUGUGUAGGCGGACUUCUAAGUGCCUUGUGAAAUCCCACGGCUCAACCGUGGAACUGCUGGGCAUACUGGGGAGUCUUGGGCCAUUCAGGGGCAACUGGAACAAGCGGUGGAGCGGUGAAAUGCGUAGAUAUCGCUUGGAACGCCGGAAGGUGAAAAACAGG